UGCCCCGUAGUGUAAUUGGCAACACGCCUGACUCUGGAUCAGGAAAGUCUAGGUUCGACCCCUAGCGGGGCAGCAA
rnacentral:tRNA from 1 species